rnacentral:rRNA from 1 species
UUAGAGUUUGAUCCUGGCUCAGAACGUACGCUGGCGGCACGCCUAACACAUGCAAGUCGAACGAAGUAGCAAUACUUAGUGGCAGACGGGUGAGUAACAUGUAGGUAUCUGCCCUUUGGCCUGGAAUAACACGAGGAAACUUGUGCUAAUACCGGAUAAGUCUUUACGGAGAAAGCUUUAUGCACCAUUGGAUGAGCCUGCACUUGAUUAGUUUGUUGGUGGGGUAAUGGCCUACCAAGACUGUGAUCAAUAGCUGAUUUGAGAGGAUGAUCAGCCACAUUGGGACUGAGACACGGCCCAAACUCCUACGGGAGGCAGCAGUGGGGAAUCUUGCACAAUGGAGGAAACUCUGAUGCAGCGAUGCCGCGUGAGUGAAGAAGGCCCUUGGGUUGUAAAGCUCUUUCGUCGGGGAAGAAAAUGACUGUACCCGAAUAAGAAGGUCCGGCUAACUUCGUGCCAGCAGCCGCGGUAAUACGAAGGGACCUAGCGUAGUUCGGAAUUACUGGGCUUAAAGAGUUCGUAGGUGGUUGAAAAAGUUAGUGGUGAAAUCCCAGAGCUUAACUCUGGAACUGCCAUUAAAACUUUUCAGCUAGAGUAUGAUAGAGGAAAGCAGAAUUUCUAGUGUAGAGGUGAAAUUCGUAGAUAUUAGAAAGAAUACCAAUUGCGAAGGCAGCUUUCUGGAUCAUUACUGACACUGAGGAACGAAAGCAUGGGUAGCGAAGAGGAUUAGAUACCCUCGUAGUCCAUGCCGUAAACGAUGUGUGUUAGACGUUGGAAAUUUAUUUUCAGUGUCGCAGGGAAACCGAUAAACACACCGCCUGGGGAGUACGACCGCAAGGUUAAAACUCAAAUGAAUUGACGGGGACCCGCACAAGUAGUGGAGCAUGUGGUUUAAUUCGAAGAUACGCGCAGAACCUUACCAACACUUGACAUGUUCGUCGCGACUCUAAGAGAUUAGAGUUUUCGGUUCGGCCGGACGAAACACAGGUGCUGCAUGGCUGUCGUCAGCUCGCGUCGUGAGAUGUUGGGUUAAGUCCCGCAACGAGCGCAACCCUCACUUUUAGUUGCCAUCAUUAAGUUGGGCACUCUGAAAGAACUGCCAGUGAUAAGCUGGAGGAAGGUGGGGAUGACGUCAAGUCCUCAUGGCCCUUACGUGUUGGGCUACACACGUGCUACAAUGGUAUCUACAACAGGAAGCAAGACUGCGAAGUUAAGCAAAUCCCUAAAAGAUACCUCAGUUCGGAUUGCACUCUGCAACUCGAGUGCAUGAAGCUGGAAUUACUAGUAAUCGUGGAUCAGCGUGCCACGGUGAAUGCGUUCCCGGGUCUUGUACACACCGCCCGUCACACCAUGGGAGUUGGUUCUACCUUAAGGCAAGGUUUCAAACCCUUGACCACGGUAUAGUCAGCGACUGGGGUGAAGUCGUAACAAGGUAAC